CGCGUAGGCGGUUUGUUAAGUUGGAUGUGAAAGCCCCGGGCUCAACCUGGGAACUGCAUCCAAAACUGGCAAGCUAGAGUACGGUAGAGGGUGGUGGAAUUUCCUGUGUAGCGGUGAAAUGCGUAGAUAUAGGAAGGAACACCAGUGGCGAAGGCGACCACCUGGACUGAUACUGACACUGAGGUGCGAAAGCGUGGGGAGCAAACA
rnacentral:rRNA from 1 species